CUUAGCCUUCUCUCAACAAGUUCAAAUCACCAGGCUUGUAGAAACAGCACCCUAAGGGUUAUUCACCAGGGAAACACUGUGGACACAAUGUCCACAGAUUUCAGCUUGAGUUUCAGCAAAGAAUUUGAGAAAGUCUUUUAUGAUUUUGUGGGAAGGAUGGAGAAACAUGGACUGGAUCAGAGGACAGUGAGAAUUAUCAAAGUCCAGUGGCAAAACAAAAGUCA